CUGUAUCUAUGAACAUACGUACUACAAAAAGACUGGUUGUUGUUUGAUAGAUGCAAAAUUUCGGUUAAUAUGAUGGAGCAUGCUGAAUUGCUGACCAUGACCGUAGCUGUACAAGAGCAUGAUUGGCCCCGAUGGAUAGUGCACCAACUACGACAAGUCCAACCGAACCUGCAACAUCUACGAAGACUGGCCAUUCUUCUGCCGGGUCGAACCGAAGGUUUUCGAAGAGUUCUUUGGUGUGCCAUGCAGCAAAUUCGACAGGGAAGCCUGCAGUGCUUGUGUGGAUAACAUCAAGAUGGUGUAUGGUCAGGACUCUCCUGAGCUUGGAAACCUCAAGCGGGUCAUAAGGGAGGAAAGUAGUAAGCAGGAAGCAAGCAUGAACCGGGUUAAAUUGUUGGAUACCACAAAUACUGGUACCUGAUUGAUUAUGGAGUGUAGAGUACUCACUCACCGAAGCAGUUGAAAACCGGAACACAAAUACUGGUACCUAAUUUUCACCUAUGAAUGAGUCUACAUUUAAAUGAA